UCGGACGUGGUGUACGGGACACAGCGAGCUUUCGUAUAUGUAACCUCCAUAUGCCACUCGCAGUCCGGGGUUCGACUCCCCGCGUCCGAA